UUCGGGGUGGGGGGGGCGCAUCGUCGACCGAUCCCAGGCUACGCUGUGGCGGGAUUUGAGUGAGAGCGUGCCUGUUGCGACCCGAAAGAUGGUGAACUAUGCCUGAAUAGGGUGAAGCCAGAGGAAACUCUGGUGGAAGCUCGCAGCGAUUCUGACGUGCAAAUCGAUCGUCAAAUUUGGGUAUAGGGGCGAAAGACUAAUCGAACCAUCUAGUAGCUGGUUCCCUCCGAAGUUUCCCUCAGGAUAGCUGGAGCCCGGUGGCAGUUUUAUCAGGUAAAGCGAAUGAUUAGAGGUCUUGGGGCUGAAACAGCCUCAACCUAUUCUCAAACUUUAAAUGGGUAAGAAGCCCGGCUUGCUCGGUUGAAGUUGGGCGCAGAAUGCCGGGGCUCCCAGUGGGCCAUUUUUGGUAAGCAGAACUGGCGAUGUGGGAUGAACCAAAUGCCGGGUUAAGGUGCCUGAAUCGACGCUCAUCAGAUCCCAUGAAAGGUGUUGGUUGA
rnacentral:rRNA from 1 species